GACGAACGCUGGCGGCGUGCUUAACACAUGCAAGUCGAACGGAAAGGCCCUGCUUUUGUGGGGCGCUCGAGUGGCGAACGGGUGAGUAACACGUGAGUAACCUGCCCUUGACUUUGGGAUAACUUCAGGAAACUGGGGCUAAUACCGGAUAGGAGCUCCUGCUGCAUGGUGGGGGUUGGAAAGUUUCGGCGGUUGGGGAUGGACUCGCGGCUUAUCAGCUUGUUGGUGGGGUAGUGGCUUACCAAGGCUUUGACGGGUAGCCGGCCUGAGAGGGUGACCGGCCACAUUGGGACUGAGAUACGGCCCAGACUCCUACGGGAGGCAGCAGUGGGGAAUAUUGCACAAUGGGCGGAAGCCUGAUGCAGCAACGCCGCGUGCGGGAUGACGGCCUUCGUGUUGCAAACCGCUUUCGCCUGUGACGAAGCGUGAGUGACGGUAAUGGGUAAAGAAGCACCGGCUAACUACGUG
rnacentral:rRNA from 1 species